CCUACGGGUGGCAGCAGUCGGGAAUAUUGCGCAAUGGAGGAAACUCUGACGCAGUGACGCCGCGUAUAGGAAGAAGGUUUUCGGAUUGUAAACUAUUGUCGGUAGGGAAGAUCAAAGACUGUACCUAAGGAGGAAGCCCCGACUAACCAUGUGCCAGCAGCCGCGGUAAUACCUAGGGGGCAAGCGUUAUCCGGAUUUACUGGGUGUAAAGGGAGCGUAGUCGGCUUGGCAAGCCAGAGGUGAAAGGCUGGGGCGCAACCCCAGAACUGCAUUUGAAACUGUCAUGCUAGAGUGUUGGAGAGGCAGGCGGAAUUCCUGGUGUAGCGGUGAAAUGCGUAGAUAUUAGGAGGAACACCAGUGGCGAAGGCGGCCUGCUGGACGAUGACUGACGUUGAGGCUCGAAAGCGUGGGGAGCAAACAGGAUUAGAUACCCGGGUAGUC
rnacentral:rRNA from 1 species